GUGCACUUGCGUCACAGCUGUCACCCUGUAUUACACAAAGUGCCUCACAAACACGCCAGACCUCGGUCCCCAGGGAGAGCCAGCCCUUUCCAAGGACGGCCCCAACGAGCCAGCAGCCAAACCUCACAAAGGAAGAUAGAAAAGGAUGUCUUUUCAUCAACCUACACACCUCCAUCCUGCUUCCCAAGUUGUCUCCGAGUGAUAUCAGCUCUAAGUUUACUGUCUGGGCAGUUCAAGCAUUAAUCUUUACUGUUUCAGACCCACACUGGCAACAUAAGCUUUGUAACUAUGUUGGCUCUGCCUGGGCAUCACCUGAUGCUUUCAUACUCCAGUUAAUAAAUACUUCUGAAUUGCUUAUAGAAAUUAAGCCACAUGAAAGAAAGGGUGGCUUGUUGGUGUGGAUUUUUUAGACAGGGGGUAUUGCUUAUCUCCAGGUGAUGGUGCCUCCUGCAAUGAGGAAACUCAGUGGCUGAGGUCAGUAGGAUGCUUGGAAUCCCUUCCUUCAAGUGUGUGUGUGUGUGUGUGGUGACUCAGAGCAAGGGCUGAAUUACUUUGGUCUGAGACACCAGGCCCCUACUGCUUCUCCAAUCCUAGGCUGUAACAGCCCCUCUGGAAAUCUGAUUUUCUAGGAACUGAGGGCAAACACAAGAGAAAAGCAUUCCGCUGUUGAUGCUGUGCUGAGGAAUGCUUUAUUUUCUUUUAUUUCCUUUCCGGGAAACUGUCCAAGUAAGAUCCAGCUCCUUGUGCAGCCCCUAGAGCUGAGUGGCUUCUCAAAGUGCCAUAGCGCGAGUGUUGGGCUCUGUGGAGGCUGAAGUCACCUGUGUCCACCUCCUGGACAAUACUUAAUCCUUAUUAACUCUUUAUGAUUUAAUCUGAAGUAUUAAUGAUUAGUUUGCUUUAUCUUCUUAAGGAGCUCAAGUGACUUUACAUAACUGUGGCCUUUUCUACAUUAGCAAGCUUUGUUGUCCACUGCUAAGAGCGUGAAGGAGGGGGAUGAUGUGGUGAGUACUCAGAGCCACCAGGUCCCUGUGCUGUUCUGGAGCAGAAAAUUUGUCACUGGCACAGAUGGCAUAGCUCAAAACUUGAUUUAGUUAACUCUGGUUUUGGUCACUGACUGCUUCCAGCUUGAGGCAAAGGCCACUGGAGUUGUUUGAGAGUUUCUCUGAAAGAAAUAUCGAACAAUUCUGAGCCCUGGGAGUGGAGAGAGGCCCUUGGUUUCAUCUGCUCUCCCCUUGAAAUACAUUUUAGUCCCAGUGUCUGGGCUUAGUGAAGUAUUAUCCUUUUGUUUUAUUUAAAAAAGAAAAAAAGAAAACAGGUUUUUUUGCAGCUGGUGUGAAGCAGCAGGUAGUGAGGCACAGCCAGAAAUGGAGCUCAGGG
rnacentral:lncRNA from 1 species